rnacentral:rRNA from 1 species
AGUGGCGAACGGGUGAGUAAUAUAUCGGAACGUACCCUGGAGUGGGGGAUAACGUAGCGAAAGUUACGCUAAUACCGCAUACGAUCUAAGGAUGAAAGUGGGGGAUUCGCAAGAACCUCAUGCUCCUGGAGCGGCCGAUAUCUGAUUAGCUAGUUGGUAGGGUAAAAGCCUACCAAGGCUUCGAUCAGUAGCUGGUCUGAGAGGACGACCAGCCACACUGGAACUGAGACACGGUCCAGACUCCUACGGGAGGCAGCAGUGGGGAAUUUUGGACAAUGGGCGCAAGCCUGAUCCAGCAAUGCCGCGUGAGUGAAGAAGGCCUUCGGGUUGUAAAGCUCUUUUGUCAGGGAAGAAACGGUGAGGGCUAAUAUCCCUUGCUAAUGACGGUACCUGAAGAAUAAGCACCGGCUAACUACGUGCCAGCAGCCGCGGUAAUACGUAGGGUGCAAGCGUUAAUCGGAAUUACUGGGCGUAAAGCGUGCGCAGGCGGUUUUGUAAGUUUGUCGUGAAAGCCCCGGGCUCAACCUGGGAAUUGCGAUGAAGACUGCAAGGCUUGAAUCUGGCAGAGGGGGGUAGAAUUCCACGUGUAGCAGUGAAAUGCGUAGAGAUGUGGAGGAACACCGAUGGCGAAGGCAGCCCCCUGGGUCAAGAUUGACGCUCAUGCACGAAAGCGUGGGGAGCAAACAGGAUUAGAUACCCUGGUAGUCCACGCCCUAAACGAUGUCUACUAGUUGUCGGGUUUUAAUUAACUUGGUAACGCAGCUAACGCGUGAAGUAGACCGCCUGGNGAGUACGGUCGCAAGAUUAAAACUCAAAGGAAUUGACGGGGACCCGCACAAGCGGUGGAUGAUGUGGANUAAUUCNAUGCAACGCGAAAAACCUUACCUACCCUUGACAUG